UGCAGAAUCCCGUGAACCAUCGAGUUUUUGACGCAAGUUGCGCCCGAAGCCAUUAGGCCGAGGGCACGUCUGCCUGGGCGUCA
rnacentral:rRNA from 1 species